rnacentral:rRNA from 1 species
UUCUUGGAGAGUUUGAUCCUGGCUCAGGACGAACGCUGGCGGCGUGCCUAAUACAUGCAAGUCGAGCGAAUCAAUAGGAGCUUGCUCCUGUUGAUUAGCGGCGGACGGGUGAGUAACACGUGGGCAACCUGCCUGUAAGACUGGGAUAACACCGGGAAACCGGUGCUAAUACCGGAUAAUCCUUUUCCUCUCAUGAGGAAAAGCUGAAAGUCGGUUUCGGCUGACACUUACAGAUGGGCCCGCGGCGCAUUAGCUAGUUGGUGAGGUAACGGCUCACCAAGGCGACGAUGCGUAGCCGACCUGAGAGGGUGAUCGGCCACACUGGGACUGAGACACGGCCCAGACUCCUACGGG